ensembl:snoRNA
GCGGUGUGAUCAGAGCAGUCGGCAGAGAGCGUGGCCAGGCUGUUUACCACACACCGUACAGUAAACCCCAAGAGGU